GCAUUGAUAGUGUAACGGUUAUCAUCGAGUCUUCCCACCUAGGUUUGGCUUGGAUCCGGGUUCGACUCCCGGUCAAUGCA